CGUAGGGCCCGUAGCGUUAUCCGGUAUUAUUGGGCGUAAAGAGCGCGUAGGCGGUUUAUUAAGACUGUGGUGAAAGAUCCGGGCUCAACUCGGGGAACGCCACGGUGACUGAUAACUAGACGAUAGCAGGGGCAAGCAGAAUUCUCGGUGUAGGAGUGAAAUCCGUUGAGAUCGGGAGGAAUACCAAUGGCGAAGGCAGCUUGCUAGGCUAUACUGUGACGCUGAGGCGCGAAAGCGUGGGGAGCGAACGGGAUUAGAUACCCCGGUAGUCCACGCCGUAAACGAUGCACACUAGCUAUCAGAAGCAUCGACCCUUCUUGUAGCGAAGCUAACGCGUUAAGUGUGCCGCCUGUGAAGUACGGUCGCAAGACUA
rnacentral:rRNA from 1 species